AAGUGUAGACGGGAUUAAGUGCUCAUACAUAGUAUGGGCUUUUGCAUGGUAAAUACCUUGGAGAAUAAGUGGUGGGUAAGACUGGUGCCAGCAGCCGCGGUAACCCCAGCGCCACGAGUGGGAACCACAAUUAUUUGGCCUAAAGCGUCCGUAGCUGGCUUGGUAAAUCUUUUGUGAAAUCGGAAAGCUUAACUUUCCGGCGUGCAGAAGACACUGCCUUGCUUGAGACCGGGAGGGGUAAGGAGUAUUUCCAGGAACCGGUAAAAUGGGAUAAUCCUGGAAGGACUACCUGUGGCGAAGGCGCCUUACCAGAACGGGUCUGACAGUGAGGGACGAAGGCUAGGGGAGCGAACCGGAUUAGAUACCCGAGUAGUCCUAGCAGUAAACUCUGCGGGCUAGGUGUUGCAUCAUCCAUGAGAUUAUGCAGUGUCGUAGCGAAGGCAAUAAGCCCGCCGCCUGGGAAGUAUGGUCGCAAGACUGAAACUUAAAGGAAUUGGCGGGGGAGCACCACAAGGGGUGCGGCGUGCGGUUUAAUCCAACUCAACGCGGUGAAUCUCACCAGAAGCGACGGCAGUAUGAAGCUCAGUCUAAAGGGCUUAGCUAACGAGCCGAGAGGUGGUGCAUGGCCGUCGUCAGCUCGUGCCGUAAGGUGUCCUGUUAAGUCAGGCAGCGAGCGAGACCUGUGCUUACAAUUGCUAACGAGUUUACGAUCGAGCACAAUGUAAGGACUGCCUUGGAAACAAGGAGGAAGGUGCAGGCUACGAUAGGUCUGUAUGCCCCGAAUCUUCUGGGCUACACGCGCGCAACAAUGGUAAUGACAAUGGGCUGCAACUCCGUAAGGAGGAGCUAAUCCUCGAAACAUUACCCUAGUACAGAUUGAGGGUUGUAACUCACCCUCAUGACGCUGAAUCCCUAUAAUCAGAG
rnacentral:rRNA from 1 species